UGUUAAGAAAUUGGCAGAUUUGAUUUAAAUAAAACGCGUGUUUUUAUUGGUCAAGUUUGGGCUCUUCUCUCUUAAUGCAGUUGACUAAUUAAAUCUACACGCGUGUUGGGGUUGUUAGUUAACUAGGGAUUAAUUUAAGCGUGAAGCGGAUUAAUUUAUUCAUAAGGAAGAAUUGGUGGGAUUCGCGUGUUUGACCACUAUAACCAAACAAUAGAUAAUAAAAUGAAUUAUUUUUUUAAUCAAUGAUCAAUUGCAGAACACUUCAAUUUGAUCACCUUCAGCUGACAGUUUUAAUUAAUUAUUUAUUUUUCAAUUUUCAAUUACAUUAUUUAUUUUUUUUCUUUUAAGUUUAUUUUUAU
rnacentral:lncRNA from 1 species